GAUGAACGCUAGCGGCAGGCCUAACACAUGCAAGUCGAACGGUAACAUGAGUAGCAAUACUUGAUGACGAGUGGCGCACGGGUGCGUAACGCGUAUGCAACUUACCUCUAACUGGAGAAUAGCCUUCCGAAAGGAAGAAUAAUACUCCAUAAUAUUACGAUGUGGCAUCACAUUGUUCUUAAAGCUUCGGCGGUUAGAGAUGGGCAUGCGUCUGAUUAGCUUGUUGGUGAGGUAACGGCUCACCAAGGCAACGAUCAGUAGGGGGCCUGAGAGGGUUAUCCCCCACACUGGUACUGAGACACGGACCAGACUCCUACGGGAGGCAGCAGUGGGGAAUAUUGCGCAAUGGGCGAAAGCCUGACGCAGCCAUGCCGCGUGUGUGAAGAAGGCCCUUGGGUUGUAAAGCACUUUCAAUUGGGAAGAAAGGUUGCGUGUUAAUAGCACGUAGCUGUGACGUUACCUUUAGAAGAAGCACCGGCUAACUCCG
rnacentral:rRNA from 1 species